AUUUAUUAUAUAAUUUAGGUGUGGCUUAGACUUUUCUUGUAUAGUCUGGGGUAGAAAUAAUGUCUUUUGCUUUUUAUUUUACCUUCAAUGAUAUGAUUCAGUAAUGUUCGUAUCUUGUUUGAUACCACAAGUUUCAAAAGCUUUUUUGUUUGUUCUUAGACUCUAUGCCGAGUCAAAUAGCUUCUCAUAAAUUGAGACGGAGGGAAUAACUCAAGGUCUCCGCAUUCUAGCAAAGAGCAUAUGUACUAAUCUGUGGUGCCAAGUUACAUUGGAAUUAUCUUUUUUCCAGAACCACAAGAAGCUGUUUGAUUAUUGACAAACUUUGCAAACAAAGAUGAAAUGACAAGUGAGAUGAGGUAGACAACUUGUUUGGAGAUUGUUUAAAGAACUCAAGGUGCAACACAAUUGGAAACCUCUGGAUGUAAGCGAAUUUUCGCGCUGGUCAAGACCUAUACUAUCAGUAGUUUCUGAUUUUCUUCGUUGUAUGUGAAUAGAUUACACUGUUUGUACAACUUCCCUUGCCAACGCAUUGAGUAGAUUUCUGAAGAAUAAAGUUACAAGGGAAGAUGCAAGUUUGGAAAAUGCACAAGCCCAUUAUUAUUUUGCUAAGAACAUUACUUAACAUCAUAUUCUAGCUCGGGAAGUUAAUUUGUUAAGUUUUUUUUUUUUGUUUAGCAAAUAUUGAAACUAUUGAUAUUAGCUCAGGAUGUUAAUUGGUUAAGUUUUUUUGGUUUAGCCAAUAUUGAAAUUAUAUUUAUCAUCCUUUGACAUUUUCAAUAGCAAUUUUAUAUUUAGCAAUGAAAUAUGUAACUUUUAUGA